CACUGUCACACAGGUAGAAAUUCUGAAUCUAAUAUUGAUUCUUUAGUUCAUGCUGUUAACUGGUAACAUGUAAUAUCUGAUUCAUAGUUUUAUUAAUGCAUUAAGUCCCCAUCAUUGUUAAAAAUCAUAACACCUCCUCAACUGAUCGUUUGGUUAUUUUCCUGCAAUUCAAACAAGUGAAAAAACUUAUAACUUCCCUUAUGUCAGUGCUUUUUGCUCCAUAUUUUACAUGCAAAUUAUCUAAAGCAAGGACAGGUAUUGAUAUAUAAAUGCCUAAAGCCUGGUAACUGCUGGAUUAUGGGGAAUUUCUCAUUAUAUAUUAUAUAUUUUUGAAUUCAAAAAUAGUAACUUCAGCACCAUUUGAAACUACUGAAAUUUCUAAUAUCACAGAUAUAUACUUUGGCAUUUCAAAUAAUUAGGUAAAUAUCUUUAACAGUCUGAAGUUCUAUGACCGUUAGUAAACUUAAGAAUUUAAAGUCAUCUGUUUCAUCUACCCCCAGUGUUGUUGUUCAGAGUACUGUAUACUGAAAAAGGGAUAUAAAAUAUAAUAUAAAAACACCUGUUGAAUUACCUUGGUACAAUUUAAAAGUCCAUGUUAAUCUUUUUAUUUUUUUAUUUUUUUAAUUUUAAAAUCUUUAAUUCUUACAUGCGUUCCCAAACAUGACCCCCCCUCCCACCUCCCUCCCCACAACAUCUCUCUGGGUCAUCCCCAUGCACCAGCCCCAAGCAUGCUGCACCCUACGUCAGACAUGGACUGGCGAUUCAAUUCUUACAUGAUAGUAUACAUGUUAGAAUUCCCAUUCUCCCAAAUCAUCCCACCCUCUCCCUCUCCCUCUGAGUCCAAAAGUCCAUUAUAUACAUCUGUGUCUUUUUCCUGUCUUGCAUACAGGGUCGUCCUUGCCAUCUUCCUAAAUUCCAUAUAUAUGUUAGUAUACUGUAUUGGUGUUUUUCUUUCUGGCUUACUUCACUCUGUAUAAUUGGCUCCAGUUUCAUCCAUCUCAUCAGAACUGAUUCAAAUGAAUUCUUUUUAACGGCUGAGUAAUACUCCAUUGUGUAUAUGUACCACAGCUUUCUUAUCCAUUCAUCUGCUGAUGGACAUCUAUAAUCUUUACACUGGGAACUUAUGACAUGACUCAUAGUUAUUUUAACUAUUAGUUACUUAAAAUAUUAGUUAUUUUAAAGUAAACUUAGUUAUUUUAAGUAUUAUCCAGAUAAUAAAAACACAUGGCACAUGUGAUUAGUAAGGUAGAGCACUAAUGGGUUAGGUGUGCUAAUGCAUGUAAAGGUUUAUGCACAGUGUUUGAAGAUAUCAAUCAGUGUUAUUGCUCCCUGAAAGUACUGGGUCAUAUGUAGCUGAUACGGGCUUCCCAGGUGGCACUAGCGGUAAAGAACCCACCUGCCAAUGCAGGAGACGUAAGAGAGAUGAGUUCAAUCCCUGGGUUGGGAAAAUUGCCUGGAGGAGGGGAUGGUAACCCACUCCAGUAUUCUGGUCUGGAGCAUCCCAUGGACAGAGGAGCCUAGCAGACUACAGUUCAUAGUGUUACAGAGUCAGACAGGACUGAAGCAAAUUAGCAUGCACACAUAGGCAUUUGAUAUGAUUAAUGUUACUGUUAACGAUGACUCACAAGUAAUACUGAGUGCAUAUAUACAAAUACUCAACUAUCUUCUUUGAAGUUUUUGGAAACAUUCUAGGCAAUGUGUACAUUUUCUGUAACUCAUGGAGAAUGUGAUACAUUAUUUCUCUAUAUGCUCCCCACCAUACAAAGCAUCACAGAGUAAUUAAUAAAAUGUUAUUCCGAUUUAUAUCAUAAGGAAAGAGACUCAAAGCUUGAUUGUGUGUGUGUGUAUGUGCUAUCAGAGUGGAAGUUACCAUCAUAUACAACAAUGAAUAAUUCUUUAAUUGUAGUUUACAAUUUGAUGCCACAGUGCACUAUCCUAUUGCAAAGAGUUUUGUGUGUUUAAUGUAAACACAAAAUAUGUUACUCAGUUACAAUACUUUAGGUUAUUCAGUCAUAGCAAACAGCUAAAAUCUUGGUUACUGAAAUGAGCAUAGAUUUAUUUCUUGCUAAUGCGUUCUGCCCUGUUGGCCAAUAAAACACAAAAUAUGUUACUCAGUUGUAAUAGUUUAGGUUAUUCAGUGAUAGCAAACAACUAAAAUCUUGGGUACUGAAAUGAACAUAGAGUUAUUUCUUGCUAAUGCUUUGUGCCCUGUUGGCUAUUUUACAUCUUCCUCACAUGGUAACCCAGGCUCAUAAAACCCCUGUCAUCUACAGCAUCCCCAUCACUGAUUCAUCAAACACAUGGAAACAUGGUGGGUCACUCACAAAUUCUUAAAAGGCUUCUAUCAGAAGGAGCAGCUGCUGCUGCUACUCAUAUUUUAUUGGCCAGAGCAAGUCCUAUGACCACUCCUAACUGGAAGAUGAAAGAGAAGUGCCGUUUUAUCAGAUAACUCAGAUGGAAGUAAACUGCGAUAUUAGUGAACAGACCUGAUUGUUCCCGGAUGGAUUUAUCCAGUUCACGUCAAUAGUUUUUAUCACAUAAAGAUGACUUAUGAUUUUAUAUAACAAUUGUGUUUUAGAAUUUCAACCUAGAAAGGCAAUUCCUGCAUUAAACCGCCAGCAAAGGAAGUAGAGUCUAAACUUAUAAAAUUGAUGAUAUCCCUCUUUGUCAGCGGGGGUUGGAUUUAGUCAAGGAAUGUCAAUAAAACUCUGAUUUGAAUAAAUGCAGGAGAUAGCCUUUCUGACAACAAGCACAAGUCAAGAACGGUGCCAAGAUCUGCAGUGUAGCUGUGUUUUCCGAACAGAUUUGAUAGUAUCAACAUGAUACAGAAAACUGAACAACCACGUGUGUGUCUUUUUGUCACCUGCACCAACAUGAACAGAAGUGUUAAGUGUGUUACCGUAUAUUGUUAUAAAAAGUAAUACAGGUAAACAUAUCAAUCAUACUGUAUGGUUAUUUUACAUUGACAAACAUAACCUGAAAAGACAGACUAUAUCUAGUCCAUGUGUUUAAUGCUAUAAAUUUCCUGGAAGCACUGCUAUUGUUGAGUCCCAUAUAUUUUGGUAUGUUGUGUUUUCAUUUUAAUUUAGCUCAAGUACUAGUUUCAAAAUUUCUCCUGAGAUUUCCUCUUUGAUCUGUGGGGUUAUUUGAAGGGUGGCAUUUACUUUCCAAAUGUUUGGAGAUUUCUCUGUCAUCUUUCUCUGUUUUGGUUAGAGAACCUUAUUUCUUGUGUUAUCUUUCUCCAUUUUAGUCAGAGAACACACCGUGUAUGAUUUCAGGCUUUUAGAAUUAGUUUAGGUUUAUGUUAUGGCCCAGAAUGUUGUCUGUCUUGGUUUAUGUCCCAUGGGCACUUGAAAAGAGUGUGUAUUUCACUGUUUUUUGAUAGAGUGUUAUAUAAAUGCUCGUUAGAUCCUGUUGGUUGAUGGUGCUGAUAAAUUUUUGUAUGUCUUUACUAAUUUAAUGUCUAGUUGUUUUAUUCGUUAUUGAAAUAAUUUGUGAAAUUUCCAAUUAUAAUUUUUAUUUCUCUUUUUGCAUCUAUCAGUUUGACUAUACUUUGCAGCUCUCUUGUUUGGUAUAUAUAAAUUUAGGAUUGCUAUGACUUGGUAUAUUGAGUAUUUUAUCCUAACAUGAUACUCUUCUUUAUAUGUGAUAAUUUUAUUUGCUUAAAGUCUACUGAAUCUGAUAUUAAUAUAGACAUUCCUUUUUUUAAUUUGAUUGAUGUUUACUUGAUUUUUUUUUAACUUCCUGCUUUCAGCCUGCCUGUAUCAUUAUAUUGGAUCUGAAUUCUUUGUUCAUACAUUACCAGUGGGUUACAUAUUUUAAUUGAUUUUGCAAAUCUCUAUUUUUUCAUUUGUAUAUUUACAGAUUUACAUUUUAUUAAGACUGUAUGUCUGCCAUUUUAAUUUUGGGAUUUUUUUCCUCUCUGUUUUUGUUUUAGUUCCUCUGAGUUUUUUCCUUCCUAUCAGUUACUUGAGCAUAUAUAGAAUUCCAUUUCUAUUUAUCUGUAAUGUUUUUAAGUGUAUCUAUUCAUAUAGACUUUUAAUGAGUACUCUGAGUAUUAUAUCAUGAUACAUAUAAUUUAUCACUGCCUACCACUGUUGUCAUUUUUUCAAUUACAGUGAAGCAUAGAAACUUUACCUUUUUUUAUGUAUCUUUAUCCUCUUCCAUUAAUAGUAAAAUUCUCUAAACUAUUUCCUCUACAUACAUCUGAAACUGUUACAACUUUUGUUUCAACUGUCAAACACAGGUCAGAGAGCUCAAGAGGAGCAAGAAAAAUUCAUGGUUUCUGCUGAUAUUUUCACUUACCAUGUUCUUUCUUCUUGAUAUUCCAACAUUCUUCUUUUAUUGCUUUCUUUUUGUUUCUAAACCUCCCCCUAGCCUUUCUUUUAGAGCCGAUAGGCCCCCUCUUGACAAUAUGUCUUUGUUUUCCUUCAUCUAAGAAUGUUUUGUUCCCCUUCAUUCCUGAAGGAUAUUUUAACUGGAUACAGGAUUCUGGGUUGACAGUUCUUUUUUUUAAGCACUCAAAAUCUUGUGCCACUUCCUUGUGGUCUCUGAGUUUGCUAAUGAGAAAUCUUAUUUUGUUCUAAUUGGUUUUCUCCAAUAGGUGAAGUGUGAUUUAUCUCUUGUUCUUUUCAAGAUUUUUGUUUAUUUGUUCUUAGUUUUCAUAAAUUUGACUAUGCGGAAUCUUGGUAUGUACUUUUGAGGUUUUCUGUUUGGUGUUCAGAUUCAUGAGUCUAAAGACUUACGGCUUUUGUCACCAUCUAAGAAAUUCUCAUCCGUUAUUUCUUUGGGUACUUUUUGAUCCCUGUCCAUUUUCUUUUCUUCUCCCACGCCUCUGAGACUUGAAUAUGAGGUCUUUUGUUAUAGAGACACAAUGUGUUAGUUACCUAUGGCUGCUGUAACAAAUUACCAAAAACAUGGUGCUUUACAACACAUUUAUUCUCUUAUGGAGGGGGAGACUGGAAGUCAGAAGUCAGCUGCAAUGGGCUCAAGUCAAGAUGUCGGGAGGACUAGUUCCUUCUGACGGCUCCUGAGGAUGGUACCUCUCUUUCACGUUUUCUAGCUUCUGGAUCCACCAGUAUUCUGUGACUCACAGUCCCUUUUUCGUGUCACUCCAAUUUCUUGCUUCUCUAAUCACAUCUUCCACUUCAUUCUCUAUGGUCAACUUUCUUUUUGCCUCCUUCGUUUAAGGAUACUGUGAUUACAUUCAGGUUCCACCUGGAUAGUCCAUGAUAGUCUCCCUAUCUCAAGAUCUUUAAUUUCCAUCAUAUCUACAAAAUCCCUUUUGCUAUGUAAGGUUACAUUCACAGCUUCCAGGGAUUAAGGCCAACCUGAAUAUCUCUGGGAUCCCACCAUACAUGGGUUUCUGAGGCUUUGUUGUUGGUUUUGGUUUGUUUUCUCUAUUGUUUAGAUGGGGUAAUUCCAGUUGUUCUGCCAUACAGCUAACAGAUUCUUUCCUCAUCACUUUCAUUAAGUUAUUGAGCCCACCCAUUAAAUUUUAUAUUUGGUUAUUGAUAUUUUCUUCAGUUCUAAAAUGUCCAUUUAGUUCUUACUUGUAUGUUCCCUAUUUUAGCUGACACUUUCUACUUUUUCAUUUGUUCAUAAUUUCUCACUGAAGUAUUUGUUUAAAAAAUAUUUUAAAAGCUUUGCUGCUUUAAAACCUUUGUCAGAUAAUUCUAACAUUUCUCUCAUCUAAUUAUGGGCAUCUAUCAUUGUCUUUUUAUAUUCAGUUUAUGUAAUUGAUGUCCUUGAUUCUUGGUUUGAUGAAUGAUUUUCAACUGAAAUCUGGCCAUUUUCUUAUUAAGUUAAAAGACUUUGGAUCUUAUUUAAACCUUCUGUUUAAAUAAGAUCUUAUUUAAACCUUUUGUUUAAAUAAGAUCUUAUUUAAACCUUCUGUUUUAGCUAGCUCCCAGUAACAUCACCCCAGUGGGUGAAAUGAGAAUGAUGCCACCUCAUCACUGCCAGUGGGUACAGAAGUGAAGGCUUCUUACCCAGUCUCCCUUGUCAUGUGAUAAGUAAUAUGGAGGGGGCUCCAUAUUACUGUGGGGAAGAGAAUGAAUUCAGGCUCCUCACUAGGUCUUCACAGUUACCUCCCUUUCUGUUUCCCGUGUGGCUUCCCCUGGCAACAUUAGCACAGGGAGGUGGUCACUCCUGGGCCACAAUGAUAGUCCUUCCUCUCCAGUAGCCUCCCACUGAUACCACCCAGUGGGGAGGAGGAGGGGAGACUUGGUACUGCCAGGUGGGGGUGGAAGUUCAGGCUCCCCGUAUGGUCUCCACUGAUAACCUAGUGGAGGUGAGUGAUGGGAGUCUCACUACCACCCACUUGAUAGGAAUGAAAGUCCCAACUCCCUACUUGGUCUUUCGUGACAUCACCUUGAUGGAGGUAAGGGGAGUUGGGGUAUGCUGUUUCAGCCCGGUGAGGGUGACAGUCUAGGCUCCCUACUUGGCCUUUGUUGGUAUGGAUGGGGUGGGGCCACAUUUUUUUUUUUCUGUCUCAUAUAGCUGGAAGAAAGCAAUUAAUCAUUAUAAAAGUUUAUUUUUUUUGUUUGUUUUGCUUUGUUGCUCCUUUCUUGGUCCUUUGGCUGAAAGAGCAUGCUUUUGGUGGCCUGCCAUUUUUCAUCUGUGCCUUUUGGCAUAUCUGGGUUUCUGGUUUUGUAUUUCCUUAUCUGGUAAUAUAUGAAGCAAUGCAAAAAUCCAGGGAACUCACCACCAUUCAUUCCUUGGGCCCUGAGUUUCCCUACCUGGGUUUGCCUUCUCUCUAACUUUCAGUCUUUGUAAGUUUAUUUUAUGUGCCGUGUCCAGGGUUUAGGGUUGUACCUGGUGAAAAGAAGAGGGAAAAGUACUUUUGCUUCAUCUUCACAGAUGUCUACUCCACAUUUUUUAUGCAAGGGUAAAUUGAAAAAUAUCCCUCAACAUUGAUUCUCAGAGGAUGAAGCUCAGGGGAUUACUACUGAUCUGUUUCUGAAUAAUAACCACUUUACAGAUCAGCAGGAUGAGAGAGUACUUGGACAGGGAUGCAAAUAGGAUUACAGAACAUUCCAUCAGUGCUGAGGUUCAGGGAUCACGUGGAGGUCCUCUUACUCCUCCAAACCACAGCUUUCUCCUCUCCUGGGAAACCAUGACUGCAGGGUGUAGCAAGGUUGGAAACUUUCCCCAUUCUCAUAGGCUGUCUUUUCUGGCAGGAUUCUGGAACUAUACCGUCCGAGCCCUUCCUAAAUUCUCACAAAGUGUUUCAUUCCCAGGAACAUUAUCCAUCUGAAAUGCAAUUUUCAACCAGAAAGCAUGUGGUAAAAUGUGGCUUAGCUGGGAAGAAAACAGAGAACCCAAAAAUCCACAUUUAAACUCUUAAGAAGCACCUACCAGCGAGCACUCAUGUUAGUUUCAUUUCAUAUAAAAUUAUACAUUAAAAAUAAAUGUAUGGAUUUUGUCAAGUUGUUUGAUCACUACUCAGGAGAUUAAGUUCAAGAGAUGGGGCUGUAAGUUUUCUGCUUGAAACCAAUAUUCUGAGGAAGAAUAGUUGGUGGGGAGGCGAUUACAAAGAACUGUCUAGGGAAGUUCUCCCUAGAGACAAAUCGAGUUAAUGAUGUUGUAUUUAACCCUGAAGGUCUCACAGUAGUAGCGCAGUGGUUCUCAAACAGCGGUCCUCUGGCAGCAUCUGUACAACCUGGGAACUCUGAAUGCAGAUUUCUCAACAGUCUCUUGUGACAAGCCCUCCAGGUGCUUUCUGAUGCCUCUACACCUGGAGACCAAGAACCAGAGCAGCCUCUCCAAGCACUGAAGGAAACAUUAAAUGAGUGCUUUUCAUGAUUCUCUCUUUCUUUGUUUUGGCUGCGCUGGGUCGUCAUUGCUGUCCUCGGGCUUUCUCUAGUUGUGGGGAGUGGUUACCCUUCUUUGCAGUGCACGGGUUUCUCAUUGUGGUGGUUUCUCUUGUUGCCAGCACGGGCUCUAGGCCCGCAGGUUUCAGUAGUUGUGGUAUACAGACUUACACUACUCUGCAGCCUGUGAAUCCUCCUGGACCAGGGAUCAAACCCAUGUCCCCUGCAUUGGCAGAUGGAUUCUUAAGCACUGGACCACCAGGGAAAUCCCUUUUUCAUGAUUCUUGACUCAUCCAUUUAGGUUUUUAGAAAAUCUAUCUAGCAUGUUUAACAUUCAGCAUGUUUUAAGUAUACAUAUUUUUUCAAGGAAAUAUCAUAAAGAAAUUAAACAUUUAUCACCCCAAAGGGUCUCUUUCAUUGAAGAUAUCUCAGUGAUUUGCACAAUUGUUUUGUAUCCUUAACCCAAACAGUCGUGACUGCUGCAUGUCUCAUUCCGUGAUGGAAACCAAAAAAUGCAGCCACGCCUACACUUCCCUGCCUUGGUUCUGUGUAGCUGCUGAGUCUCACGUUAAUGGGUUUUUCUGGCUGUCUUCAUGACGUGUUCUGGGGCCGACACCAGGCAUGAGGAUAUUUGGAGGCGAGGGUGGGAGCGUCUCUGCAUCCCUUGAAGAAGAUUCAUUUUGGGAGAUCUUGUCACACAGUAUUGUUAGAGACAGACACAUAUGCAGAUGUCUGGAUUCAUCAUUGUCAUUACCACAGCAGCUCCACUAUGGGGGAUUCACUGUCUAUUGCAGGCUGGCAUUUUUCUCUGGGGUCAUAUGAGAUUAAAGGGAAUCUUGGCUCCAAGGUUGUCCUUAGGAAAGAGAAGCUACAUUCCUGAAUAAAGAGUUUAUAUUUGGGGUGCAGUUAUAAACCCCAGGAUGGAGUAAGACAAAAUCAAUUAAGAAGUAAAUGGUAAAAGAUGAAAAAAUAUUUUCUGAUGGUGAUAAAAUACAGAUAGAUUCCCCAGUGGCUCAGAUAGCAAAGAAUCUGCCUGCCAUGCAGGAGACCUAGGUUUGGUCCCUGAGUCGGGAAGAUUCCCUGGAGAAGGAAAUGGCAAUAACCCACUCCAGUAAUCUUGCCUGGGGAAUCCCCAUAGACAGAGGAGCCUGGCGGACUACAGUCCAUGGAGUUGCAAAGAGUUGGAUACGACUGAGCGACUAACACACCAUGGCAUAUAGUCCUAAAUACAGUUCAGUUUCAUUUUAUAUUAGUUCAUGUUUUCAAUUAGCAAUUCACUAAACAUAGAGAACAUAAUAGAUUUGAGUUUACUUAGACCCAUGACUUUGGAUGGCUAAUAUUUUAGAUUUUUGAUCAUCACAUUUUACUACAUGUAAUUUUUAAAUAUAUUUUUUGGUGUCUAUAAAUCAUAAAUUUCAGUUCCACAUACCUUUUACUCCCCACACCUUUUUAAAGGUGGCUUUCUUUUCUUUUUAUAAAUAAAUCUGGGGGAUGGGUCGAGAACAGUUUAUCUGCUUUUAAUUUAAAAUGACCCAUUCUGGGUACUUCCCUGGUGAUCUUCCAGUUAAGAUUCUGUGCUUCCACCGCCAGGUGUAUGGGUUCUCUGCCUGGUCAGGGAGCUAAGAUUCUGCAUGCUGCGUGGCCCUGCCAAAAAAAAAAAAAUUACUGGCACACAUUCUGGGUGCAGAAAAAUACUAUUCUCUUACCCUUUCAACAUCCCCCACUACCAGUUGUACUGUGUUUUUCAUUCCUUCUGUUCCCUUUGUGCCUUCAAGCUGAUUAUAUUUUUCAUUUACUCAUCCUGCUCGGGUGUUUAAAUGGUGGUGCCUCAACAUUGUUUUGGGGAGAAGACUUUUCCAAACCUUCAUUAUACAGUGUUUGUUAAAUAAGACCAUUUGGGCAGGUUGGAGGAGCCACUCCUUAGAAAACAUAUUUUGAAAUGUUGGAGCAGAUGUGUUCUCUCACACACACAUCCUUUAUAAAUAAAGGCCCCUGGCUCUGGUGGUACUAGUCAGAUGUGUUCUUUCUCAGAGGGAUCACUUGGCUGGCAUUUUUAAAUGUGGUGGUUUAAUCAUCACCGAAAUGCUUAGGUAAGGCUUAAAUAUGAAGACAAAUAGUUUCUCCACAAUAAAUGGGGGCAAGGAGAGGGGGAUUCAAGAAGGGAAGUGUCUUCUGCGGGCAGUCAUCCAGAUUUUCCCACACAGUGUUAGUCUCUAUUUAUACACACAAAAUGUGUCAGGUGAUUUUUUUUCCAUAUGCAGAUAAAUUCUGACUCUUCCUUUUAACCUAAACACUGCCCAAGUAAUGUUUACCAUGAGAUUGCAUUCGAAAUAAUAUUUCUGCUAAUGCUGCUAAACAGCUUUUAGGAAGUGAUAUAUGAGUCAGGUUGAUGUUGAAUCUUUGAUCAAACUAUGAAUCAGAUUUUCAAAACCGGAAAGCAUUUCAAAGCAUUUGACUGCUCUUUUUUGUUUUCCUCAAUGUCAGUGUGGUCUGUUUGUGCAUUUUUUCAUUUUCUUUGUUUGCUCUUCUUUUCCUUUUUUUUCUCCCCUUUAUUGGCUUAAGAAUUCUUUUUCCUCUUAUGACUUAUUUUUCUAGGAGCAUGUGACAUAACAGCUAUAAAUUAAAUGUUCUCAUUGUGUAAAUACCUCUAAUAUUUUAGACAUGAGAUUGAGAGUUGGUUCAUAUUUUUACAGUUUGCAUUCUUGAAUUGACACAAAAGAUAAACAUCAGUCUGCUCUGGAGUGGUUACAAAGGUGAGAUAAUCCCAUUUUACCCAGCCACCAUCAUCUAAGGGGAAAAAAUAUGGCCCUGUGAUUUCACUUGGUUGAGCAUGUGGAAUAUGUUUUGGUUCUGAUUUUAGGAUUAAGCUGGUGAUUAAGGGAGGGGAGAAGGUGACAUAUCAGUGCUUCAUUUCUUUCUUAGUCUCCAUCCUUUUGUCUGCUUGUGAGUAGAGCCUAAUCUGUGUCAGUUACCUUUGUUUUCUCCUACCAGUUUGUCUCCUGUCUCCAUCAUUUUGUUUGCUUAUUUUGUUUUGCUUUUCUCUUCUCUUCCCCCACUCCAUACCCCAGCUCCCAUCUAGCUGAGCUGAAAGACCAGCAGGGAGACGCAUCAGUUAUGAAACUAGAAACCUGUGAGCCCCUGGCUUGUGCUUCUCCAAGUUCUCACCAAACCCAUGGCAAGACCGUGAUUUUUGGUUUUUCUUCCUCCCUGGUUCAUCAGCCAUUCCACAUUAUUCCCUUGGAUUCAGUAUUUUAGAAUAUUCUGUGUUAGAACUCACCUUUGUCAUAAUUAGUAUUCACGAUACACUGCAGGGGCUUCCCUGGUGACCCAGUGGUAAAGAACUCACUUUCAAUGCAGGAGGUGAUCCCCUGGAGAAGGAAAUGGCAACCCGUUAGAGUAUUCUUGUCUGGAAAAUCUCAUGGACAGAAGAGCCUGGUGGACCACAGUCCAUGGGGUCGCAAAGAGUCUGACAUGACUUAGUGACUAAACAACAACAUGUCUUCUAUAUGUCUUUCUAGCUCAGUGGAGUUAUGAAAUGAGCCAUUCAUUUUUUAAUCAGUUUCAGAAUAUGUUUCAAGGACCACCUGUAUCAGAGUCAUCUGAGAUGUUUAUUAAAGCUAUGAGUGAAAGUGAAAGUGUUAAUAACUCAGUCAAGUUUGAAUCUUUGCAACCCCAUGGACUGUAGCCUGCCAGGCUCCUCUGUCCAUGGAACUCUCCAAGCAAGAAUAAUGGAGUGGGUUGCCAUUACCUUCUCCAGGGUAUCUUCCCAACCCAGGGAUCAAACCCAGCUCUCCUGCAUUGCAAGCAGAUGAUUUACCACUGAGCCACCAGAGAAGCCCCUGAACCCUAUCUUACAUCUCCUGAAAAAGAAUCUCUCUUACUGAUUUUAGGAUUUUUGAGGCUGACACUAAUUAUAGGAAUUAGUCCAGAUCUGUGCUUACAACCCAAGGUACCUUUUAUUUUUUUAAUUUAAUUUUUAUUGGAGUAUAGUUGCUUUUCAAUGUUGUGUUAGUUUCUGCUGUACAGCAAAGUGCAUCAGCUUUACAUACACAUAUAUUCCCCCUUUGUUGGCUCUCCUCCCCAUCGGUCACCACAGAGCACUAAUUAGGGUUCCCUGAGCUGUGCAGUAGGUUCUCAUCAGUUAUCUAUUUUACACAUAGUAUCAAUAGUGUAUAUAUGUCAGUCCCAACCUCCCAGUUCAUCUCCCUCUUUCCCCUUUGGUCUUCCUCUGUGUUUCUGUUUUGUAAAUAAGAUCAUUUGGUAGCUCAGUGGUAAAGAAUGCAAGAGACACGGGUUUGAUCCCUGAGUAUGGAAGAUCCCGUGGAGAAGGAAACGACAACCCAUUCUAGUACUCUUGCCUGGGAAAUCCCAUGGACAGAGGAGCCUGGUGGGUGAAAGUCCAUGGGGCUGCAGAAGAGUCAGACAUGACUUCGUAACUAAAUAAGCCCAACAACAUACUAUUUUUCUAGAUUCCACAUAUAUGCAUGAAUAUAUGGUAUUUCUUUUUCUGACUUCUCUCACUCUGUAUAACAGUCUCUAGAUCCAUCCACAUCUCUCCAAAAAAUCAGAAUGCAUGGAUCCAUCUCCAGGUUGUAACUUAAACAACCUGGUAUGAUUGUAACAUGCAGCCUCUGUUAUCAACCAGCAAAUGAGCUAUAGAAGUUGGAAGGAAAGACAGAGGUUGGUGCUGACACGGAAGCAUUACUUCAGUAUAUUCAUCACAGACCAGAGAUUGACCCUCAUUUAUAAAUUCAGAAACCAGAUCUUUUUCUCAAGGGCAUAGUCAUAUUAAGUAAGCUUAUGGAGACUGAGCUAUAAAUAAGGAUGCCAUUUUUAGAGUUAUCAUUGUGACUAGGAUCAGAAUGACCAGGGCAUUCUUACCCUAUAGGCAAGACUCUCUCCAUGGGAAGAAAAAUUGUCAGAAAUUUGCUCCUGGAAUCUGGAGACAGAGAAAGGGAAAUGAGUUGAAUUAAAGGAGUGAAAACAGUGGAGAAUGAUGAGGUGUCAGGAACUCUCCUAAAUGUUUCAUGUGUAUGAUUUCAUUCACACCCUCUCAGCAGUCCUUUGUGAUGGUGUUAUUGGCUCUGCUUUCUCUAUGAGAAAGGGUAGGAAAAGAGGGGCUACAUAACUUGCUGAAGAGGAAGAGCUGAAAUCCUCGCUGUGUGUGACUAAGUUAUUAGUGAACUAAGAAUGAAGCUACCAGAUAACUUUAGAGUUGCUGGGCCUCGCCAUCUGUGUUAAGAAAUCAAGUGGGGACAGAAUAGCUUCUAGUUGGUGGAGAAGAAGGGAAUGUAUCAAAGCACUGCCUGUCUGGGUAGGAUGCUUUCGAGUCAUGAGCAAUUAGGAUGAGCAGUCCCUUUCCCACCAUCGUACCUUGUGGUUUGUUUAUCUGAUCUCUCUGUACUUGUAAUUAAGUGAAAGAUCCAUAUGAGCAGAUUCUACUCUUAAUUUUUUUUUUCCUAAGGACACAUCACAGUCAUGUACAAAAAACUAAUCAUACAGCUUAAUAAGGGACUUUCCUGGUGGCUCAAUGGUAAAGAAUCCACCUACAGUGCAAGAGCCUCAGGAAAUGUAGGUUCAGUCCCUGGGUCAAGAAGAUCCCCUGGAGGAGGGCAUGGAAAACCACUCCAGAAUUCUUGCCUGGAGAAUUCCAUGGACACAGAAGCCUGGAGGGUUACAGUCCAUAGGGUUGCAAAAAGUAGGACACAACUGAAGCGACUUAGCACACAACGCACAUCUUAAUAAACAGUAAUAACUGUUAGUUGCUCAGUCUUGUCCAACUCUUUGCAGCCCCAUGGACUGUCGCUUGCCAGGCUCCUCUGACCAUAGGAUUUUCCAGACAAGAAUACUGGCCAUUCCCUUUGCCAAGUGAUCUUCCUGACCCAGGGAUUGAACCUGGGUCUCCCACAUUACAGACAGAUUCUUUGCCGCCUGAGCCACCAGGGAAACCCAAUGAACAGUAAUAAGACAUAUUUAAAUAUAGUGGACAAGUUUGCACAAGUCAGGCUCAUGGAUGUCCCCAAAUCCUGAGUUAAUUUUGUCUCAGAAAAUAGAGUGAAAUUGACUAAAAACUUCGACUUGCUCCAAUGCAAGCAUGUUUCCUAUUAUUUGGGGGAGAAUUUCACGGAGCUCACAGUUUCCUGUGUCUCUCUUCUGAGUUUCUGCAUCUGCUGAAUGCCAGAUCACCACUCAGGGUUUUGCUUUCUCAGUAUGUGCCAGCUUUCCCACGAGGUCCCCCUGCCGUCAACCUUCCUUGAGCCUUUACCAGCAAGCAUCGCCUGUCCAUCAUACCUUGUGGUAUCACCUGAAGUAUCCUGAAGUAUCACCAGUCCAGACUGUGUGUUUGGCAGAUUUUGCUAUAGGAUUUGAAUAACAGCGUUGAGUUAUAGCACAGAAAUAUGAGAUACUUGCUAGUAUUACAACUUCCUCAAUCAUUUCUGAAAAUAGUUAUACUUUGUGUUUUUACCUUAGGCUUCCGCAGCUCUUUUCUUACUAGGUGAGAAAUGGAGUUAUUUCGAAAUGUAUAGAUUGAUCUCAAAGUGGCAGGUACACACUAAUAAAUCAUAUUUCUGACUUCUGUUUCUGUAAAUCCUAUUUCUGUUUUCCCCAGUUUAUCCACUAGGAACUGUCCUAUCACAUUCUUUUGUUGUUGUUGAGUCAUGUCCGACUCUUUGUGAUCCCAUGGACUGCAGUGUGUCGGGCUUUCCUGUCGCGUUCUUAGCACCUGUUGAAAUGUAACCCUUACUCUCUUGGGCAGAAAAAGCAAAUGCCUGCUAAGGGCAGACCUCCUAAACCCCUCAGCAUAUACAUCUUCCAUUGGUGAAUCCAACAGACAGAGGGUGUAACUGCACUACAUGGUCUGGGGCUGUUACUUUAAGACCAUUUGAAGUCAGAGAUGGCAAUCAUAACUCUACACUGGUGAUGGUUCCCCAUUCACUGAAAAGUGCUUAUGAGAAGCACAUAAUUUAAGAGUAGGAAACCCUAGGGCUCUCAGAAUGGAAAAAUAUUGUAUAUCCUCGAAGAGACAUCUUUCAAGAACAAAACAACUCUUUUAACUUCUUUUAGCUCAAACAACUCUUUCCAAUAUUAGAGAUAACUAGGAACAAUGCUUUAAUAGACAUGUUUUGUACCUUGAAGGUUAUAGUUUUCCCAUUUCUGCUCAUUUAGUGGAAAAAGGGUAGAAAUUUUCUGCUGUGAUGAGAAGGAAUGACAUUAUGGGAUAUAAACUAGGAAGUCAAGAUAGGAAAAUGAUACUUUUUUUCCCAUAAGAUGUGGUCACUGCUAUAAUCAGGAUGACUAUAGUGAAUGCAGUUCACUUGCUAGAUAUGACAAUCCACAGAAAACUAGAAGUUGCUUAAGAUUGGCGAUAAAAGUAACAGCCACUUUUUUAGAUUAUCAUGCAUUUACACAGACAGCUUUUGCAGCUCAAUUUUUCAGAAGUCUUUGCCUCAUAUCUUUUAAAGCUGCCAGGGAGUAUAUUAUUGUGAACUCGUUCUGUUAUACUAAUCAGUGUAUCCAUGACCCCAGAAAACACUGAUCAAGAUGGAUGCAAACCCAGAAGAUAAGCACAAAGUUUAGCCACAAAUAUAUACUAACAGUAAAAUUGACACUUGGAAAAUUAAAACAUUUAUAUGGUCAAAGCAUGUGUCAUCUUCACCUAGUGACAGAGUAAGAAGAACAUAUAGCAGGCCUCAGAGCAAACAUAGUAUUUUACUGCUAACAUCACUUUCUCUAGCAAUACCUAAAAUGUUACCUGAGCUCUGCCAGAUGCUGAACUGACAACUGAGUGAUUUGCUCUAAGUUCUCAUUAGAGAGCCAUCAGUCUCUUGCACAGUGAUGUUUCCACUGCUUCUGUAACUCACAGUGGGACUAGAGGAAGAUGAAGGGGUCCAUUCACCAGUGUCUGUGGGAAGGCUGGACCACUUGGAUUCGGUGGAGAAGUAUCACUCCCUUGUCCUCAGGGAGCUUACAUUCUACCUGGGAGAUACAAUUCAGAAGAGAAAGAGCUGGUGAAACAACAUGAAAUAAAGAAAGGCAAAAUUGCUUUGUUGUAUGAAAUAUGAGAAAUUUGGGGAAAUUUCUCAUAGAAAUCAUAAGAAUUGGGAAUGCUGUCAGGAGUUCUCUCACAAUGUCUUAAUAGCUUCCUUGGAUUAGAAAUCAAUAAUGGUGUGAAUAAGUGGGUAUCCCCAUUAAUUACUCUCUGCAACCCACCUCCGACCCUGGUAGUAAAGACCUAAACAGACCUUGCAAGACGCUACACUCCAUUUUUAGGGAAAUCUAUGAUCAUGUUAUGUUUGUCCUGCUGCUGCUGUUGCUGCUAAGUCGCUUCAGUUGUGUCCGACUCUGUGCGACCCCAUAGAUGGCAGCCUACCAGGCUCCCCCGUCCCUGGGAUUCUCCUGACAAGAAUACUGGACUGGGUUGCCAUGUCCUUCUCCAGUGCAUGAAAGUGAAAAGUGAAAGUGAAGUCACUCAGUCAUGUCUGACUCUUGGCAACCCCAUGGACUGCAGCCCACCAGGCUCCUCCAUCCAUGGGAUUUUCCAGGCAAGAGUACUGGAGUGGGGUGCCAUUGCCUUCUCCAUAUCUUUGUCCUAAUUCCACAUCAAAUCAGAGAAAAGUUAGGGACCCAGGAGACAUAGAUGUGAAUUAGCCACAAACCUUAUGUGUCAUAUUGAUGGUUCUUAAAGAGGCGCAGGUUUGAUCACCAGCACCAGCACCAGCACCACCUGGGAAUUUGUUAGCAAUGUGAAUUCAGCCCCUGUUCCAGACUUACUCAAUCAGAAGCUCUGGGGGCCAGCAAUUCGUGCUUUCAAAUAAGCUUCAGGUGAUUCUGUUGCAUGCUUAAAAUUGCACUGAUGUUAUUAUGGCGUAAACCAUUUGAACGUAAUGUCUAAGGCACCCUUGAAGAAGAAAUGGGGUAAAGAAGUGUUUUAGUAGCCCACGAACUUCACCCUGUGUUGUAUUGGUAGUGGGGAGUGUGGGGGUUGGGAGUGUGGCAGUUGUCUCAUAUGUUGAUUGUCCUGAAAUGUUCACUUGUAAGCUUUGAGUGUUCGUUUAACAGUUUAACUAUUACAGGAGGCUCCCUCCCCCUUGCUUAAUGUCUUAAAAUUCUUCUUUGAGUUUGUGUGUGUGUGUGUCUGUUUGCUCAGUCACUCAGUGGUGUCCAACUCUUUGCAGCCCCCAUGGACUGUAGCCCGCCAGGCUCCCUCUGUCCAUGGAAUUUUCUAGUAUUCUCACCUGGAAAAUGCCAUGGACAGAGGAGUGUGGUGAGCUACAGUCCAUGGGGUUGCAAAGAAUCCAACACGACUUAGUGGCUAAACGACAACAAUCCUCUUUGGUGAAGUGGUUUUUUUUUUUCAUGUCUUUUGCCCAUUUUCUAAUUGUGUGAUUUAUUUUCUGACCAUUAAGAUUUGAGAGUUUUUAAUAUAUUCUAUAUGUUAGAUGUAUAGUUUGUAAAUAUUUUCCUUCAGUCUUAAGCUUGCUUUUUCAUCUUCUUAACUGGUCUUUCACAGAGCAAGCAGUUUUAAUUGUGAUGAGGUCCAAUUUAUUCAUUUUUUUAUGGAUUGUGCUUUUGGUGUCAAGGUUAAGAACAUUUAUGUAGCCUUAGAUCCUGAAGAUUGUUUCCCAUUUUUUUCUAAAGGUUUCACAAUUUUACAUUGUAAAUCUAAUUACAUUAUGUGUUAUGAGUUACUUUCUGUAUAACAUGAGAGAUCUGGGUGGAGGCUCAUGUUUUUGCCUAUGAGUAUGCAAUUACUGCAAUAAAAAUGCCUUCAAUUUUGGCAUAUCUAUUUUUUUUUAAUUCAAUACACGUUUACUGUCAGAACUUACUUUGUGUGCUAUCUCCUCAGAAACAUGUAUGCAGGUCAAGAAACAAUAGUUAGAACUGAACAUGGAACAAUGGACUGGUUCAAAAUUGGGAAAGGAGUACAUCAAGGUUGUAUAUUGUCACCCUGCUUAUUUAACUUAUAUGCAGAGUACAUCAUGUGAAAUGAAGGGCUAUAUGACUCACAAACUGGAAUCAAGAUUGCUAGGAGAAUUAUCAACAACCUCAGAUAUACAGAUGAUACCACUCUAAAGGCAGAAAGAGAAGAGGAACUAAAGAGUCUCUUGAUGAGGGUGAAAGAGGAGAGUGAAAAAGCUAACUUAAAACUCAGCAUUCAGAAUAUGAAGAUCAUGGCAUCUGGUCCCAUCACUUCAUGGCAAAUAGAUGGGGAAAAAGUAGAAACAGUUACAGAUUUUAUUUUCUUGGGCUCCAAAAUCACUGCAGAUGGUGAGUGCAGCCACAAAAUUAAAAGACACUUGCUCCUUGGAAGAAAAGCUAUGACAAACCUAGACAGCAUAUUAUAAAGCAGAGACAUCAGUUUGCCAACAAAGCUCCAUGUAGUCAAAGCUAUGGUUUUUCCAGUAGUCAUGUAUGGAUGUGAGAGUUGGACCAUAAAGAAAACUGAGUGCUGAAGAACUGAUGCUUUUGAAUGUGGUGUUUGAGAAGACUCUUGUGAGUCCCUUGGACUGCAAGGAGAUCAAACCAGUCAAUCCUAAGGGAAAUCAGUCCUGAAUAUUCACUGGAAGGACUGAUACUGAAGCUGAAGCUCCAAUACUUCGGCCACCUGAUGGAAAGAGCCUACUCAUUGGAAAAACCUUAAUGCUGGGAAACAUUGAGGGCAAGAGGAGAAGGAGACAGCAGAAGAAGAGAUGGUUGAAUGGCAUCACUGACUCAAUGGACAUGAGUUUAACCAAGGUCUGGGAGUUGGGGAUAAAUAGGGAAGCCUGGUGUGCUGCAGUCCAUGGGGUUGCAAAGAGUCGGACACAACUCAGUGACAACAACAACAACCUUGUGUGCAACAUGGUUAGGCAGUAAAGAUAGGAAAACCCAUAGAAUAUGAUCCCUGAAAGAUCUUGUAGUUGAAAAGGUUCAUAUACAAAUACUUAAAUUUUUAGAUUAAGAGGCUUCCCUGGUAGCUCAGAUGGUAAAGAAUCUGGCUGCCAAUGCAGGAGACCUGGGUUUGAUCCCUGGGUAGGGAAGAUGCCCUGGAGAAGGGCAUGGCAACCUACUCCAGUUUACCUGAAAACUUCCGUGGACAGUGGAACCUAGAGGGCUACAGUCCUGGAGGUCGCAAAGAGUCAGACACGACUGAGCAACUGACACUUCCACUUUCAUAUAAACAUACUUAAAAUUCAGGUUAAGAGGAAUAUACAGAGGAAAAAGCACUUGAAAAAUACAAGGGAAUGCCAAUAGAGUAAGUAUAUGCUAUCACCCUGGCUUAAAUGAGGGAUCAUUAAAACAAGGUCAUAAAGUCAGAAGCGAAGGAAUACACAUGAAAAAUAUUUAUGAGGAACAUUUAUCAGAGUCAGGCAGAGGUGCUUUGGGGAGAAAGAGGGAUCAAAGAUUGACUCUGGAUGGUGGUUUAUCCAGAAAGAAAAAAAAAUGACAAGGUUUGAAAGGGAGGAAAUGAAUAUGUUUGAAACUUCUUGAGUUUGAAGUAGCCAUUAAACAUUUUGGUGGAGCAGACUCUGUCAUAGUUUUCACCUAUGAGGCAAAUACUUCUGGGUGAAUUUUAUAAGAGUUUUUGAAAAUUACCCAAUAAUCAUUUAUAGCUAGAAUGCUACGUAUACAUUCAGGUUGUACUCUUUUAAAUCUUUUCAAUGUUCCUUGGAAGAAAAGUUAUGACCAACCUAGACAGCUUGUUAAGAAGCAGAGACAUUACUUUGCCAACAAAGAUCUGUUAGUCAAAGCUAUGGUUUUUCCAGUUGUCAUGUAUGGAUGUGAGAAUUGGACUAUAGAGAAAUCUGAGCGCCAAAGAAUUGAGGCUUUUGAACUAUGGUGUUGGAGAAGACUCUUGAGAGUCCCUUGGACUGCAAGGAGAUCCAACCAGUCCAUUCUGAGGGAGAUCAGCCCUGGGAUUUCUUUGGAAGGAAUGAUGCUAAAGCUGAAGCUCCAGUACUUUGGCCACCUGAUGCGAAGAGUUGACUCAUUGGAAAAGACUCUGAUGCUGGGAGGGAUUGGGGGCAGGAGGAGAAGGGGAUGACAGAGGAUGAGAUGGUUGGAUGCCAUCACUGACUCAAUGGACAUGAGUUUGAGUAAACACUGGGAGCUGGUGAUGGACAGGGAGGCCUGGCGUGGUGCAGUCCAUGGGGUUGCAAAGAGUCGGACACAACUGAGCGACUGAACUGAACUGAACUUUUAAAUCAAAAGCAGAAGUCAUAAUUGUAUAACAGGAGGAAGCAUUAUGUUUAAUAUAAAGCCUUGGUGUUCUGGUGUAUUUUAGGCUAGAGUUGGAAAUGGAGUGAUUCUGAUUACAAAUUGUCUUAGUUAAAGACGUUUUUUUUUUUAAUGCUUCAAUUUUCUCAUCACUGAAAUGGGUGUAUUUAUAACCCUAUGGCUUUCAGGAUUGCAGUGAGGACCAAAGGAGAUGAUCAGAAGCCCAAAGUACUUUAUCUGUAAUAAAACUUUAGCACUUAUUAGUUCCUUUUUACCUAUAAGAUAUUUUGACAUCAUUGAGAAUAAUGUUUGAAAACAUUAAGGAGAGGAACCCUUCUUACAAAUGAAGGCUUAUUCAGACUUGGAAAACAAAAGCCAAAGUUGUUUCCUCCUUACCCAAAUUCUCAAUUACAGGAACAAUGUGUGAUAUUAGGGCUCUUCAGAAAUCUCUAAUAUCAAUAAAUCCUCAAUUUAAAGAUGAGAAAACUGGUUGAAAGAGGUAAAAACAGUUUCCUUGAGUGACAUGGUUUGCUGGAGACAGAUCUUGAUCUAUCUCCCACGUUAUGAACUCCCUAUUAUAAAAUAUUCUGAAAUGCCAUAGUAUGAGUGUGACUCAAAUAACAUUGGCUACAAUUACAGUUCCAAAAGAAACUGGUGUGUUUUAAGUGUUCUUUGAGGUUCAGGAGCAUUCCUAUUUCUUGUGGUCUCCAAAUCACCAUUGUGAAGAGCAAACUUCUUUCUCAUAGGUAUGCUUUGAUGUAUUUAAGAAAUGGGCUUUAUGUGCCCAGUUUAGAUAAAAGAUGACCGUGAUGUUUUUUCUGUCCUUCUCUCUUAAUAGCUAGUGUUGGCAAACAUUUUAUGUUUGAGAGAGCUUGGAAGAUCGUGUCCUUGGGCAGCAGUUUCAAACAUGGAGUUACCCAGGGAACGCUUUUAAAUAAUGUAUUCUGAAACUCAGUCCUUGAAGAUUCUGAGGCAAUAGAUUUGAAGUGGAUCUUUAGAACUCAUCUUUUAAAGCUCCCCAGGUGAAGCUAGGACUUGAGGACCUUCCUCAUCUUUUGAAAUUCCCAGGUGGGGCAAGAAUUUGAGGACCAUUGCCCCGGGAUUGCCAGUGCUAUUCUCCUAGAGUUUCCUUUCUAGGUAACUCUAGUUUUUGAAUACUUAAUAACUUUGCCCAGAUCUUUUCUCUAGUUCAGAAUUAGGUCAUAUUCUGUCCCAUCUGAGUCAGCCUGUGCCCAUUCAUCAAACCUUUUCCAUGAGUAACAUCUUAGAGGGAAAAGAUGGCAUCAGCUUGGCAGUAACAACAAUAAGAACAACAAAAUAAAACCUUUGCUUACUGAGUCCUCACUAUGUGACCUGUGAGUUCUUGGUAUUUUUUCUGAUGGCAGAAAUCUGAACCAUACACUUUGAUUUGCAACAGCUUAAUAUUUCAAAGAGAACAGUUGAUUACUCUUUUCUCUGCCCUAUGCUCCUCUCCCAGCUUCCCUCACUUUCUCCCCAGCAGCCUGCCGAGUGCUCGUGCCUAGAUCUAGGUAUUUCCCCUGACAUCCCAUAACCAAUCCAGCAGCAAAUUCUGCCAGUCGUGCCAUCAAAAUAUAUGCCAGUCUAACCACUUCUCACCUGUUCUACCAAGAGCCAUUCAAUCCAAGUCACUAUGAUUUUUUUUUCUCUAUUAUUUUGGUAGCUGGCUAACUGAUCUUUCUGUUCUACUUUUCAUUUCAUGGCUAGUUUUUCAGAGAUAAAGCAAGAACAAUCCAAUGAAAGGGCAAAUCAGAGAUGUUCAUCCAUCAUUCUGAAACUUUCAGUCACUUCCUAUCACAUUUAAGUUAGAAGUCUAUUAUCCUUAUCAAGUAUUACCACAAGUACUACAUGAUCGAGUCUCUCUCUUCCCAUGUCAUAGUCCUUGCCCUCUUCCCUCUACUUCACUUUUGUUCAGUUGCUCAGCAAGGUCCUACUCUUUGAGACCCCAUGGGCUGCAGCACACCAGGCUUUCCUGUCCUUCACCAUCUCCCACAGUUUGCUCAAACUCAUGUCCGUUGAGUCAAUGAUGUCAUCCAACUCUCUUAUCCUCUGUCACCCCUUCUCCUCCUACCUUGAAUCUUUCCCACCAUCAGAAUGUUUUCUAAUGAGCUGGCUCUUCGCAUCAGGUGGCCAAAGGAUUUACUUCACUCCUGUUCUCUAAAUAAGCCAAGCUUUUGCUGACCUCAGGGCCUUUGCACUUGCUGUUUCCCACGACUAGUUUCCCAUAGCUAGGCUUCUCUUCCCCUAGAGCUUCCCACAGCUCACUCUUCUACUUCACACAGGUCUCUGUUCAAAUAUCAUUCUCUGUAAGACCUUCUCUGCCCAUUCUAUCUAUAAUAGUACACCUGCCACAUUGUAUCCCUUUUCCUUUACUUAUCUUUAUAACCUUUAUGACUACACUACCACUGUAGCAUACAUUUCUUUAAUAAUAAUUUUUUUUCCUUUUUUUUUUUUUUUGGAAUGAACUACAAGGCAUGUGUGGGAUCUUAGUUCUGUGACCAGGGAUCGAACCCACACUCUCUGCACUUGAAGCCCAGAGUCUUAACCACUGGGCCACCAGUGAAGUUUCAACAUACAUUUAUUUGGUUGUUUAUUGUCUCUCUCCCCAACUAGAAUGCACACUCUGUGGGGGAGGGGUUCUGUCUAUGUCUGUUCACCUUUGUAUGCCUAGCGCUUGGCACCUAGUCAGGGCCCAUUAUGUAUGUGUUGAAUAAAUGAAUGAAUGAGUCAGUAUAGCAGUUGUUAUCCUUCUGGGUUAUCCACAGCAUGCUUUUGAUUCUUGCCCCUCAGACGUACGUGGAAUGCUUGUAAAAUUUAGAUGACAGAAGUCUUGAUCUCUGCCAAUCAUUUUAUUCAUGGUCUUGUUUGCCUUUUGUUAUUGCUCUUUAAUAUUCAUAAAGAACACAGCCAUUCCUAGGACAGCUAGUCUUGAGAAUACUUUACUAUUAUCCCCUAUUCUGAAGGUGCCAGACUUUGCUCCUGGCCUUUGCUCCAGGGCUGUCAGAUUUAAAUUGGAUGAGGGGGGCAGACAACAUCCGGUCAGGCUUGUCCCACAGACAGGGAAAUACUCCAGCCACACUUACUGUCUCUGCCAGACCUGUAUAGAAAUACCGGAGGGAGGGAAACUUUACUUGAAAUGAUAAAAAUGCUGACUCUGGGACCUUAGGCGAAUAUUCCUUCUUACUUCUCACACUUGAAGCAGACAGAUGGGUGAUUUUCCUUCCUCUCUCGUGCACGGCUUCCUCGUCCACUAUGAGCCGUGCUUUACAGGAAGUUUUGCGUGUGGUCCAUGUUCACUGAUGCUGAAAUACUACUGCAGCUCUGUCCUCUUUUUAUUCAUGCUCAGAGCAUUUGUUUUAUGACACAUGAGAGCCAGCAAGUGUGCUCAAGUGCAAACAGACCCAUAUGUAGGUUGGGUGGAAGGGCUCUUUGUGGAAAGCCAGCUCUCACCACAGUGCACCCACACACAGACCCUUGGAAGGCUGGCAGCUCUGCUGAAGGAGAAGGGGCCAGCUUGCCAGCGGGCAUCCUGCCAUCAGAGCAGAUGGGCUCAAGCCCGGGCAGCAGCAGAACACGCAUGUGCGCUCUGGCCGCAAGCGUAUUUCUCAUUUGUCUUUAUUUUACAGGAGACAAAUUCUUGCUCAGAAAGGCUAAGUUUACAGAGUAGGAGUCAGGAAGGAAGCAAAGAAAUCAAAAUUUUCAUCUCAUGUAGUGAAACUUAGAGUUAUUUGUUAGAGACCCUCUUCAAUCCCAAAGCCCUCAUCACUGGAGGGGAUGCCCUGUCUUGCUCCGGCAGUUUGUCAUUUGCUAAUUAACUAGGUGGGCUUCCAGGUGUCACUAGUGGUCACAAACCCACCUGUCGAUGCAGGAGAUGUGAGAAACUCGGGUUCAAUCCCCAGGUCGGGAAGAUCUCGUGGAGAGGCAUAGCAACCAAGCCAGUAUUCUUGCCUGGAGAAUCCCGUAGACAGAGGAACCUGGCGGGCUACAGACCAGGACAGACUGAAGCGGCUUAGCAUGCAUGCAACUCACUAGGUAGCCUAAUCUUUUCAAAAGAGUCCAGAAAUCUAUGAAAGGGACUUCCCUGGUGCUCCAGUGGUUAAGAAUCCACUUUCCAAUGCAAGGAAUGUGGGUUCCAUCCUCAGUCAGGGAACUAAGAUCCCACAUACCAAGGGGCAACUAAGCCGCCAUAAUGCAGCCACUAAGCACUGAGCCCACUGGCCACAACUAAGAUUUGAUGAAGCCAGAUAAAUAAAUAAAUUAUUUUUAAGAAAUAUCUGGAAGGGGAAGGGAGGAGAGGGUGAGAGAAAAAAAAAAGAAAUAUUUGGAAGAAUCACUGCAUGCAAUGAAGCUAAUUUUACCAACAUAUUCAUUAUUUGAAAAUAUUAUGACAGUUACUCCCCAAAACUAUUUUUCCUCAUUUUAGUUUCCCAUUUUAAUAUAAAAAGAGCUCAAUUUCUUUUCCUGAUGACUUAAAAAGAUGACUAUAUGUUGAUAGGACUAAGAUGACAGCAUAAGCAAAAAUAUUGACACUUUGAAAGUCUGUUUUAAUAUUACUUCUGCAGUGUCCUAUUUGCCCAAAUGGAAAACUUGGAAGAGAAGAGAAUAACUGUGAUUACUGAGAAAUAUACAGACCUCUUAGAUGAUGUAUAAGUAUUGUAUCCAUCUGAAUAGCAAUGAAAAAAAUAAACUUCUCACAGUCCCUACAUAUAAUUCAUGGGCAUAUUAUAAUAAUAUUCACUUUGAUAUUUUGUAUAAAAUAAGGUGAUUGGUAUUUUAUAUAAAAAGGUGCUUAUACACAGCUUAUAUGCCCCACACAGUUUUCACAUUUAUUAUCUUGCUUGAGCCUCACUAUAAACUUGUGAGGCAAGUAAAACAGGCCUGUUGGUCUCUGUGCAGUUGAGGAAAUUUCUGUGCAGGUAGAAUGACUCAAGCUCAGACUUCAAGAUCAUUUGUCUUUUAUCAUUGGAACUUCAGUUUAGAGGUUGUUGUAAAACGAGAAAUUAUAUAGUGAUGGCUUUUAAAUUUUCAUAGCCUUUACAGUCUUGCUUUCUUGUUUUAAUUUUUUUAAAGAAAUAUAUACAUACUUUUAUUUUUUAAAUAGCAUUUGCUUUAUUAUUGCAAAAGUAAGUAGAUGGGGAAACAGUGGAAACAGUGUCAGACUUUAUUUUUUGGGGCUCCAAAAUCACUGCAGAUGGUGAUUGCAGCCAUGAAAUUAAAAGAUGCUUACUCCUUGGAAGGAAAGUUAUGACCAACCUAGACAGCAUAUUGAAAAGCAGAGGCAUUACUUUGCCAACAAAGGUCUGUCUAGUCAAGACUAUGGUUUUUUCCAGUGGUCAUGUAUAGAUGUGAGAGUUGGACUGUGAAGAAAGCUGAGCGCCGAAGAAUUGAUGCUUUUGAACUGUGGUGUUGGAGAAGACUCUUGAGAGUCCCUUGGACUGCAAGGAGAUCCAACCAGUCCAUUCUGAAGGAGAUCAGUCCUGGGUAUUCAUUGGAAGGACUAAUGCUAAAGCUGAAACUCCAAUACUUUUGGCCACCUCAUGCAAAGAGUUGACUCAUUGGAAAAGACUCUGAUGCUGAGGGGGAUUGAGGGCAGGAGGAGAAGGGGACAACAGAGGAUGAGAUGGCUGGAUGGCAUCACUGACUCGAUGGACGUGAGUUUGAGUGAACUCCGGGAGUUGGUGAUGGACAGGGAGGCCUGGUGUACUGUGAUUCACAGGCUCGCAAAGAGUCAGACAAGACUGAGCGACUGAAUUGAACUGAAUAGUUUAUUAUUUUGAAAAGAAAAAAUAAUAAGAAAUUAUAUAUAAAUAAUAAGCAAUGAAAAACACCAAUCAGUGAUAGCUAACUCAUGAUAAAUAUUGUUCCAGCAUUUUUUUCAGGUCGGUAUGUAGGUAACUAAAUAGGUAAAUGAGAGAGAUACAGAUAGAUAGAACAAUAAUCAUUUUGAAUGAAAACAAGAUCAUACUGUUGUAGUGUGUUAAACUUUGUCUUCAUUAUCUACAAGUAUUACUGUGUGACAUCCCUUUUGAUUAUUAAAUAAUAUUCUAUUAUAUGAACUUACAAUUUACUUGACAUUUGGUUUACCUGUAUUUUUCAUUAUAAAAUAGAGUAUCUUUAUAAUCCUGUUGUUAAAUUCUGUGAGCAUCUAUCUCAACUGAUUUAUUUAUAUCUAACUCCUAGAAAUGGAGUCUCUAGAUCAAAGGGUAUAUAUACUUUUAAUGUUUUAUACUACAUUGACAGAUUACCUUCCUGAAUUGUUUUCUCAAUAUAUAGUUUUACAGCAGGUAAGACAGCCCUUUUCUUUCAACCUUACCAGUACUGAGCAUUAUUUUAAUACUUGAUGUAACAGUUUACAUUUUUAUGUUGUAGCUUAUGCUUACAUUUCUUUAAACAAGAUAAGGUUGAACAUUUUUUCAGUGUUUUGAGGACAGUUAAUUUACUCUGUGAUUUGCCUCCUACUGUUCAUUUUUCUACAGGGUGUAUCUUUUUGUUGUUGCUUUAUAAAAACUUUGUAUAUUAAGGAGUUAAAUUUUGUUAUGCAUGUUUCAGUCACCUUUAUCAUGUUAAAAUGUAUUCUUUUCUUUUGUCUUUUACUAUCAGAUUUUAUUAAUCAUGAAAGAAUGUUGAAUUUUCAGUCUGUUGAGAUGAUUGUGGCUUAAUUAAUAUUUUAAUAUGUAGAAAUGUAUGAAUCAACUUCCCACUAGCUUUCUUUUAUUUUUUUAAUGAAACAUGACAUAAGGGGAACAAAUGGAGACAUAAGGGAAACUCUUAUGUCUCAAGCGUCUUGGCCACUGGCUGCAAAGUCAAUAUUCUGGGGCUGCUAUGUUUGUUUUUGACAAUAGUCAAGUCUUCUUGACUAUUGAGUAAUUUACCAAAUGUGCAAAAUAUUUGAAUAAUCCUGCUGAUGGUUGUUCUGAUCCUUCUUCACUACAUUCUCUAUCAAUUCCAUUGAGAGAUUUAAAAACAAUAUCCCUGCUUAAGAGAACUUUUAGUACUUUUGUUGUUUUACAAACUCCGUGGGUGACUGCCAAAAUAACAGUGAUAAAUAAAACUCUGUAGUAAAUUGCUGUGCUCUGUGGAUGCAUUGUAUGAAAACACCCUUGUAAAAAAAAUAUACAUUUCAUUUUGUACCACUGUACGUAAUUUUGUGAUUUUUCUUUCCCAACUGAAAAUACUGAGUUCUUAUGUUGACAUGCUAGCAAACAGCACACCUUAAUCCCUGUUUAUAUUUACCAUUAAAAAUAAUAGAUUUUUGCUUUUGGAACUGAACCUAACAAUGCAAUUUUAAAGUCUUCAGAACCAAUCAAAAAUCUCUUGAAAUUAAGUUCACUUAAAGAAACACAGAAAACCACUCUCCUCCUGAAACUUGGUAGGAUAUCAUCUGACUCCUGUUAUAAAUAGCCCAUUUGAAGAGAUAGCAGUAAGUUAAAUUAUGAAAAAUUUUCCAAGUAAUUUAUAUCCAUUUCUGAAUUUGGACAGGGCAGAAUUAUAUAUAUAUAUAUAUAUAUAUAUAUAUAUAUAUAUAUAUUUUUAUGGUGGCUGGUGCUCUGGUAUGCAAAGUUAAUGUGCCUUUUCUGUUGUCAAUGGUUUGCAGAAAAAAUAUACUUUGUAAGACUUUGAAGAGUCGCAAGAUGAUUUUUUUUUUAAAGGUUUAUACAUUGCUCAGAAUCUAAGUGAAAAAUAUUCCAAGAAGCUGUGACAGCCCAGCCAUAUGUGUCUGUAAAGGACUAAAUUUCAUCACUUGCGCAGAGAGCCUUGCACUCAAUAGCAAGUGAGUUUGGGGCAUCCUGAAGCUAGAUAUAAGAGAUGAAUUCUAUCAUAAACUGGAUGACAGCUACAUUUCUAAAACCCACUAGUUCCUUAAUUCUGUCUUGAGGUCAGAGAAAAGGAAACAAUUAAAUUCAACACAUACCCAAGGUGACACAUUUUUGAAACGAAUCAGAUUUGAUGUCAGCUUUAUAGUACAUGGGGAAAUAGUCACUCUCAGAAGAACUGAGAUGGAGUUCUCUGUUGCUCAGUCCUCAAAGUCUGCAUGAAUCCCCAAAGAAUAAUGAGCAAAGUGAGAAUGAACAAGUACUCUACUCCUUAAGACAUCAAGGUGUCUGGUAGUAUAGACAGAUCAAUAGCGUUUGUUUCUCCCUUUCCAGAAAAAAAAAAAAAAAAUGCGCACUGAGCCGCUAGGGCAGGGCUUGUCAUUCCUCCACCAGCCUCUCCACUUCCUCUCCCUUUCUGCCUUUUCUCCAUCUCAAAUCCUCCUUUAUCAUCUCUGCUGCUCUUGCAGCAUCUUCUCUCUGAUUCCUAGAGUUUAUCCGUGCCUAACUUACACUGUUCUAAAUGUGAUCUAUCCCCAUUUGAGGGAUUUCAGACUUUUGGUACAUAAGUUUUUAGAAAAGCAUUGUGAGACCAAAGGUUCCUCAUCCUUCAGAUCUUUUGUUGAAAGAGACUCUAUUCAGCAGUCAUAUUGUUCUGUAGUGGGCCUUUCCACUGUUCAAAGAAAACCACUCUUCUGACACACAGUGGAAGGACUAGAGAUAAAUAAUUCCUCAAUACAGUUUGAUUGAUUCAGAAAGAGCCAAAAGGUUUUAGUGGCAACUAAAGAGAAUGAGAUUUCUAAGAAUUCCCGUGGAAUUAUAUUUGAACAUAAUGAAAACAGAAAAAGCAAUAGAUUGACUAGCCAAGGUGCUACCAAGAAUUUUAAAUUAUCUAUGCAUCUGUUUUCUCAUUCGUGCAUUUAUCCUCCCUGAGAAGAGGUUAAUAUCAUCUCCACAUCACAAAGCGGAAGCUAAGCUGUGUUCCCCCGAGGUCUAGCCCAGUUGCUCUAUAUUGUAGAUUACUAGGUGUUGUAGGAUUAUGAGGGUUAGUACAUCCUUGAGCUGAGCAUUUCUUUGGAACCCUGAGCCAUGCUCUGUAGCAGAAUGUUUGCUAGUAAGUAGAUGAAAUGUACUGAUGAAAUGUACUAAAAGAACAUGACCCCACAUGUUCUGGUUAAAAGCGGAACACCCAUUAUUCACUUGGGCUUUUAUUGUUAGAGUCUUGAGAGAUCAGCAAAUCUUCAUAAAAUUUUGUUUCACACAGAAGAAACAGAGUACUUAAAGAGAAACGAUUGUGAUUUAAUAAGGUUUGUCUUCUUGAGAAUGCUCUCCUUCCACUCUUUGAGGUAAGAUUGAUUGAUUGAAAAUCGAUGGAAUAUAAAGCACUCUUAGAUGGCAGUGCAGCUUUCCAGUUAUGGGCAGGGACCCACAUGGGCUGAACUCACAUCCCAGCAUAUAACCCUUAAUGGGUGUGUGCUCUUGGGAAAUUUUGCUUAGAAAUGUUCACCUCUGAAAAUGAGAAUAAUAAUAGUGCCUACAUCAUAGGACCGUGGUGAGUAUAUGUAUGCUGAAUGCAAAAUGCUGAGAAAAGUUCCUGGCAUUUUUUCUAAAAUAUUUGCAAUUAUUAUUAGCAUUAACCAAUAAAAGAAAACUGCUACGUCUCUAGAUUUAAAUCAUCAAAGAAAUAUAUUAAUUCUUAUAAUGAGAGUAUGUAAAAUUAUAAUUCUGUUGAGUGGACUUCAUAGAGUUGAUUCAGUCCCAUGCAAACAAUAUCUGACUUCAGCAUAAGAAGUUCACACUUCUAUUUAUUUGAGAAUACCCAAUUUGUACUCUUUCUCAUUCUUAACGUUUUGAUGUUUUUCUUAAUGAGCAAGAGAAGAGAUGCCAUUUCUAUGGAGGCGGUUUCUGUUCCUCAGUCUACUUUUUGAUACAAAGUUGGAACAUCAUUUUGCACAUGAAUGUGGCUCUCAUUGACAAGGGACACUGGGGUGAUCUUUUGGCUCCAGACAUUAAAAUCUAGGGCAGGAUUUAAUGGAAGCCUUGCUUUUCCUGCUAUUUUUCUCAGGCUUAUCACUUUUUAAGCAUUUGGUCAUAACAUUUCCUCUCUUCUGUCUCUACACCUCUUCUUUCUGUGUCUCUCCCAUAUAUAUAUAUGGAUACAUGGACAUGUGGUGUGUUUGUUCAUAUGUGUGUGUACAUGUUGCCAUAGUAGGAUCUAGUAGUUAAGUUAUUUCUCCUAAAGCAGAGCAGCAGUCAGACUGAUUAGACAAGAACGCAAAAGGUCAUUUGGGCAAAUCCUUUUAUUUCAAGUAACACUUCCCACAAACCAAGGGGAAGAAAUAGAUUUUUUUAAAUCUUCCCUUAGUCCUGUACAAAAGUGUAUUUUUAGUGGUUCACCAGAUGCUGCCAAUAAUUAUAAAGAAUGGCAUUUUCAUAGUAGACAUUUUUGAUACAGACAGAAACCUCAGUGAAACAAGACAAUGUUUCAUUUUUUGUUCAAGGCCCUGAGCUUCCUACAAAAUAAAGGUGAAAUCAUAUAAAUGGCAAACAAAUCUAUAUUUGGAGUGAAGACACAUUGUUACUACCUUAAUUUCUCAGGUUUUUGACUUGCAUAUUUGACCUAUCAUUUUUAGAAGUUAUUUUCAUUGUAAAUAACAAAAAUAAAAGCCUGGAAAAGUAUUUCUGUAGCAUCAAGUGCCUCAUCCUAGGUCAGAGAAAAGUCAUUGGUAAGACAGACAUUGGAGCACCCAAUUUUCAGUUAUUAAACUGUUACUUAGACCACUAAACCAGGAUAAGUUAGUGCAGAUCCUGCAGUCAAACAAAAUCCCAAGUUGCUUGAACCUCUUAUCAAGUUUGACAAAGUCAUCUCUUUGGGGAAAUUCUUUGUGAAUUCCUUCUUUAUGUAAAGUGACUUAGACCCCUCGACUGAACUGAACUGAACUGAACUGAGCUGAAUAAUAGGUUCUCAUUAGUUACCUCUUUAUACAUAGUAUCAAUAGUAUAUGUAUGUCAGUCCCAAUCUCCCAAUUCAUCUCACCUCCUUCUUCCCCAAUUGGAGUCCAUAUGUUUGUUCUGUAUGUCUGUGUCUCUAUUUCUGUUUUGCAAAUCAGAUAAUCUAUACAAUUUUUCUAGAUUCAGCAUACAAAAUAGUUUUAAUAAAUGUAACUAUGAGGGCUUUCCUGGAUUCUCUGAAAAGACAGAUAAGAUGGCAUGUUCCUUUCACACUGAGAUUAUAAAUGAAGGCAAGAGAUGUAUAAAUCCCCCUAAGCCACCUUAUCCUUAAGGAAAUACUUGUUGAUCAUGGUGUUUGGGACUGUUGCUCAUGGAAGUUGGAGAGUGACUUGGUUGGCCAGUCCACUGUCUUCCAGGGCAGAGUAAAUUCCUACAAUGGCCAAUGAAAGCCUGAUGCCCAGAACAAGGAUGUGAGCAUUGUCAAAGCUAAUAUAUCUUAGUUUUGGAAUUUAAAAAAAUGAUGACAUUUUAAUAAAAACAGUAAGUCUUUUUAAUGGACCACUUAUUCUUGGUCCUCUUGUGUUCAUGCUUCAUCAAUCUAGGCGUCUUUCUGUUUCAAGAGAAAUGAAAUCCUGAUUGUGUCAUAUUAAUAACUUGAAAUCUGUCUCCAACAUCAUGUUUAAUCUCUUCCCACCAAAACCCUUCUUUUUCUUCAUUUACCCUAUCUUUGCAUCCACCCAACCCCUCAUCUCUGCUUUUUUAUUAUAUUAUCAUACAUGGAAAAGCAACCUGAAUAAUUCUAUUAAUACAUACCACUACUACUAAUAAUAGCUAAAUUACUGAGGAUUUACUAAGUACCAAAUUUUUGCUAAGCUCUUCUACAUAUAUUAAGUCAUUUAACCUGUGUAGUAAUGCUAUAAAGAAGAUAACCAUCUUUAUCCCAAGUUUUCUGACACAGAAGAUUUUGGAAGUCACAUUAAAUAGUAGAGCCAAAAUUCAAAUCCAAGCUGUCUUAUCCAGCACUGUCAUUCUUAACCAUUCUGCUUUUAGAAGGCCAGCUGACAAAGUAUAGAAUAAAAGUUCUUUGCCCCCAUUACCAAGGAAUCAGCAGAGAAUGGCUCCUCCUAGAAUGUCAGCAGCCCCUGGUCUCCCUCCAUCAUCCCCACCUCUGCUGUGUCCCUCUCUCCGAUCACAGUCUACAGCAUAUUUCAAAUGUCUGGUCGAACAUUUCUGUGCAAUCAUACAGCAGCUAGAACUUGUGCAAUUUGUUUUUCUAAUGCUUUAUCAUUAUGGCAGCUCCUGGAAAGCCACUAAUACAAAGUAGAAGCGAUUACACAGUCACUUAGGUCAAAUCCUGAUUCUGAAUGGGACCACGGUAUUAACAUUGAAGGACACAUGAGAAACGCAGUUUGGUUACAAGUCUCUACCUCUGAGUAGAAGUUGUAUGUUUCCACUCUGAGUGUAAUUUAUGAUGCUUUGGAGGCAUCAUGAGCUUACACUAGUGAAACCAUCAGAGGACUGAUGAUCAGGAGAUAAAGAUUCCAGGCCAGCUCUCCCAGGCUGUCUCGUGACUUUAAACAGGCCAUUGUUUGCUCAUCUCUGUUAGAAAUUCUCAUGACUCUGCUGGGACUUCCACUGCAUUAGUGUUGUGAAGACAUGAUUAUAUAAGCUAUUUUUUCCUUUGAAAAUGUAAAACUAUGCUAUAAGUAAAUUAUACAAAAGCAUUUUACUUUCCUCUGCUUUUUAUCUACACAUCCAUUAUCCUGAUUAUAACUCUCUGCUCUUUUUUUUGCUGUCACUUUAUUCAUUGAGCUAUAAUCUGUUGGGUUGGCCCCAAAGUUCAUAAGAUAUACGGAAAAACCCAAACAAACCUUAUGGUUAACCCAAUAUGUAAAUUAUUCAACUCUGCAAAUGUAAACACAAAAUGCUUAUAAUUAAGACUUCAUAGUCAGAAAGUACAAAGCCAUUUAAAUACCUCAGUUUCAGUUCAGAUUUUUGAAUUCAUCUAAAUUCAUUCAUUGUCCUCUGUCCAAUCGAGUAAGAAUUCAGAGCCAUUUCUGUCAGUUUCAAAGUAAGAUAAUACUUAGUUUUUAUGAGUUUUGAAUAGUCACAUGGAAGAUUUUUCCCCCUUUCUUUUAAAAAUCCUCUCCCUCAGAGUUGGAAAAAAAACAUGAAUGUCUUCAGCCAAAAGGUUCAAUCAUUUGAGUAGAGGCUCUUUUAGGAAAGUGCCUGAAGAUCACAAAGAAUAAAAAUGCCUUCUCAACCAUUUAAUUCUACAAGCACUUACUGAGCAACUCCUAGGUGUCAGUUAAUGUAAGAGCCCCUCUGGGGAACCCAAAGAUGAAUGAGACACGGCACCUGCCUUUUACUAGGGCACAGGCCAGUGGAAGAAAAAGACUCAGGCAGACAUUACUCUCAAACAGGAUCCACUAGGUAACUGAUCAGUGGAAGCAAGGAGUGAUGUGAGAGAAGAAAAAGAUUAAUUCUGACUAGGGAAUAUUAGCAGGUUUUCCUGAUGAGGGGGAUCAUUUAAGCUGUUUCUUGAAAAAUGGUAAAGGGACAGAAGGCAAUUGCAGGCUGAGACAACUAAAUAAGCAAAGGAAAAAAAAAAAGGUGCUGGGGAGGGAACUCUGAGGAACUGUAGAAAGAGAAAUUGACUGGGUUCUAGAGCUUGGGAAGCUGCUAGAGGGCUCAGUUCUGACUGCUUUAUGGAGGGUUUGAAGGCCAGAUUGCAACUAUGGAAUUUGCAAUCCGAAUGCAAUGCAUUACGAAUCUAUAUGCAAUACGAAGCAAUUGAAAGUUGUAAUAUUUUAUUCUCUCUCUUAUUAUGAUUAUUAUUUGCAAUUAACACCUUGAAAUAAAGCCUUGAGAGUUCCC
ensembl:lncRNA